rnacentral:rRNA from 1 species
UACGGGGGGAGCAAGCGUUGUUCGGAUUUACUGGGCGUAAAGGGCGCGUAGGCGGCCACCGCAAGUCGACUGUGAAAUCUCCGGGCUUAACCCGGAAAGGUCAGCCGAUACUGCGGGGCUAGAGUGCAGAAGGGGCAACUGGAAUUCUCGGUGUAGCGGUGAAAUGCGUAGAGAUCGGGAGGAACACCAGUGGCGAAGGCGGGUCUCUGGGCCGAUACUGACGCUGAGGAGCGAAAGCGUGGGGAGCGAACAGG